UACGAAGGGGGCUAGCGUUGCUCGGAAUUACUGGGCGUAAAGGGCGCGUAGGCGGAUAGUUUAGUCAGAGGUGAAAGCCCAGAGCUCAACUCUGGAAUUGCCUUUGAGACUGAGUGGCUUGAGUACGGGAGAGGUGAGUGGAAUUCCCAGUGUAGAGGUGAAAUUCGUAGAUAUUGGGAAGAACACCGGUGGCGAAGGCGGCUCACUGGCCCGUAACUGACGCUCAUGCACGACAGCGUGGGGAUCAAACAGG
rnacentral:rRNA from 1 species